AUAUCAGUCAUGCAUAGCAUAUCAAUAAGCGGAGGAAAAGAAACUAACAAGGAUUCCCUUAGUAACGGCGAGUGAAGCGGGAAGAGCUCAAAUUUGAAAUCUUCAAGGUUUUACCUUGACGAAUUGUAGUUUAAAGAAGUGUUUUCUGUUGAAGUUUUGGUAAAAGUUCUUUGGAAUAGGACAUCAUAGAGGGUGAGAAUCCCGUAUUUGACCAUUACUUUCAGCUUUGUGAUACACUUUCAAAGAGUCGGAUUGUUUGGGAAUGCAGUCCAAAAUGGGUGGUAAAUUUCAUCUAAAGCUAAAUAUUGGCGAGAGACCGAUAGCGAACAAGUACCGUGAGGGAAAGAUGAAAAGAACUUUGAAAAGAGAGUUAAACAGUACGUGAAAUUGUCAAAAGGGAAGCGUUUGACACCAGUGUUGUUUUCUCGAAAAUCAAUUAAAAAGAGUUGGAUUUUGUGUUGUAUUGACUUUAUCAGCUUUCUUCACUCUUUUCCAGCUUUUUUUAAUGCACUUUUCGUUUAACAAGUCAACAUCAGUUUCUCUUGUUGUAAAAAGGUCAUUGGAAGGUGGCUUUCUCUUCGGAGAAAGUGUUUAUAGCCUUUGACUCAUGCAAUCGGAGAGACUGAGGUCUGCAGCGUAGAUCCUUCGGGGUUAGAUACAUUUGUGCUAAGUUAUAGCUUUUCAUAGACAACUUGUUGACUAUGUUUAGUCUUGUAGCUUACUCGCUUAUGCUAUUUUACCUACGCUUAGGAUGUUGAACUCUAUCACACACAG
rnacentral:rRNA from 1 species